UUGUUUAGGAGAAAGUCGUAACAAGGUUUCCGUAGGUGAACCUGCGGAAGGAUCAUUG
rnacentral:rRNA from 1 species